CUCUGUGAGCACAAAGGAGAAAGGCUGCCCUCAGGGUUGACUGCAUACUGGGGAAAAAUUAAGACAGCUGAGGUUAAGUUGUUUACCAGAGCAUGAACUAAUGGAUACUGGAAAGCAGCUGAAUCUUGUGUUACCUUGAUUGCUUGCAUCCGUGUUUGGGUGAGCUGGGUAAAAGUGAGGUGAGCCAUAAGGCUUGGGUCUCCUCUGCCUGCUAGAAGAUGAGCCCCCUGGCUGCCCACAUGUUGAGCUGACUCCGUGUCUCUGUCAUUCAUUUUCGUUUGUCCGGGGUCAGGGAGGAACAAAGUACCUGGUCUAGGUCCCGGAGCAAGGCCCACCUGGUGGCGCCCCAGUGCGGGGCCGGGGACCCAGGGUUGCCUACAGUUCACACUACUUAUUCUCCUUUUAAUAUCCACGUGAUCUGUAAAUCCUCCCUGUUAUAGGUAAUCCGUAUCCUGGAUUCUGGGGGAUUAUUUAAAGCAGUGGUGGUGAGUGGAUGGCACAUGUGCCACAGCGGACACGCAGAGCCCUCUCUGUCGUAUGUUCUGUCUGGCGUUCACAGUGGACAACUGGGAGUUCACAGUGGAUAACUGCAUGAGGAUCCAUCUUUCAGGAUUCUCCUUCACCAUUUGGGUGCCACUUCCCACUCCAUGUCACCUAGACACCUGGUCACCCACCUAGAGAUGUCAUUUUCCAGGCCCCUACCUGUGCAUCACCAGGCUGUUGGUGGACUGUACUUCAAAGGGUCACAUCUUGCUUGCCCAGAGACUAUACAUCAGGUCCAACCUGGGCAAACCAGCCACCAUCUCUGCUCUGUGAGCCAAGGGAUUGAACUUGGGACCUUGUGCUUGCAAGGCAGGCGCCGGAACCACUGAGCCAAAUCCCCGGCCCAGGAACUGGUAUUUUAAACAAGCAUCCCAAAGGAUUCCGAUGCAGUGGUCCCUCGACAUUCACCUGGCUACUUUAUGUCUUGCUGAAGAUGCAAAACUUGCUCUGGCUGAAAUUCUCCUUUUAUCCUUUCUACCAGUAAGUGUCUCUUAGAGAAACUGGGACACUUUCACUAUGGCUCUUCCCUGCAUUCCUGGGGGUGAAGCAGCCACCACAGGAAGCAAAACAGCAAGAGAGAGGCUGAUUCAGCACAUACUGAGGCGCAGCCACAAGCCCAGGAGCUUCUUAGUGGCCUCCUGAUCUUAUCGAAGGACAUUGUCCUUUCCUGGAACCUCACUGCCUUCUGCAGUAUCUUUAUUUGUAUCGUAUCGUAAGGCUGUCCCACUCGCUUUGCACUGAGAAGUGUUGCUCUGAAACUAUUUACUGUGAAUAAACUUUCUUGGUAAUGCCACGUUUGUUCAGAACCUUGAC
rnacentral:lncRNA from 1 species